rnacentral:tRNA from 1 species
AGAGGUAUGGCUCAGGUGGUAGAGUACCUGGCUAGCAAGUAAGAGACCCUGAGUUCAAAUCUCAGUACUGUUA